rnacentral:rRNA from 1 species
ACUCCUACGGGAGGCAGCAGUGGGGAAUAUUGCACAAUGGGCGCAAGCCUGAUGCAGCCAUGCCGCGUGUAUGAAGAAGGCCUUCGGGUUGUAAAGUACUUUCAGCGGGGAGGAAGGCGAUAAGGUUAAUAACCUUGUCGAUUGACGUUACCCGCAGAAGAAGCACCGGCUAACUCCGUGCCAGCAGCCGCGGUAAUACGGAGGGUGCAAGCGUUAAUCGGAAUUACUGGGCGUAAAGCGCACGCAGGCGGUCUGUCAAGUCGGAUGUGAAAUCCCCGGGCUCAACCUGGGAACUGCAUUCGAAACUGGCAGGCUAGAGUCUUGUAGAGGGGGGUAGAAUUCCAGGUGUAGCGGUGAAAUGCGUAGAGAUCUGGAGGAAUACCGGUGGCGAAGGCGGCCCCCUGGACAAAGACUGACGCUCAGGUGCGAAAGCGUGGGGGGCAAACAGGAUUAGAAACCCCGGUAGUCCC